rnacentral:rRNA from 1 species
AUUGAACGCUGGCGGCAGGCCUAACACAUGCAAGUCGAACGAGUGGCGGACGGGUGAGUAAUGUCUGGGAAACUGCCUGAUGGAGGGGGAUAACUACUGGAACCGGUAGCUAAUACCGCAUACCAUCAGAUGUGCCCAGAGGGGAUGAGCUAGUUGGGGGGGUAACGGCUCACCAAGGCGACGAGCCCUAGCUGGUCUGAGAGGAUGACCAGCAACACUGGAGCUGAGACACGGUCCAGACUCCUACGGAGGGCAGCAGUGGGGAAUAUUGCACAAGUGGCGCAAUCCUGAUGAAGCCAUGCCGCGUGUAUGAAGAAGGCCUUCGGGUUGUAAAGUACUUUCAGCGGGGAGGCGUUACCCGCAGAAGAAGCACCGGCUAACUCCGUGCCAGCCGCCGCGGUAAUAC